rnacentral:lncRNA from 10 species
GAGCCGUGGGCGAAGGCAGACGUCGCGCGUCACCAGAGCGCCGGUCGGGCCGGCAGAGGGAGCGCGCUGAUUGGCUGGGCUGGUCGCGCGUCUGCGCGCCGGCGAAAGGGCUCCUUCCGCCCUGUGCUUCCCUGGGCAGAGCCAGACGGCGCGCGGCGGGCGUAGGACUUUGGGCUUUCGCCUCGUCCUGCGCUUGACCCCAGAUGCGUUUCCAGAAGCGGGGCACCUGGGGACGCAGGAGUCUGGGAUCCCCGUCCCCCGAAAACGGACUUGGCUCCGAGAAAUCCUCCGCUUCGUGGGCUUCGCCCUCUGCAACUACCUUGCGCCUCCCUUGGCCUAGCGGACGCAGCCUUUAUUUUUUGUUUCUUAGAAACAAGGUCUGGGCCGGGCGCGGUGGCUCACGCCUUAAUCCCAGCAUUCUGGGAGGCCGAGGCGGGCGGAUCACGAGGUCAGGAGUUCGAGACUAGCCUGGCCAGCAUGGUGAAACCCUGUCUCUACUAAAGAUACAAAAAAUUAGCCGGGCGUGGUGGCGCGCGCCUGUAGUCCCAGCUACUCGGGAAGCUGAGGCAGGAGAAUUGCUUGAACCCGGGAGGCGGAGGUUGCAGUGAGCCGAGAUCGCGCCUCUGCACUGCAGCCCUCCAGCCUGGGCGACAGAGCGAGAGUCUGUCUCAAAAAAGAAAAGAAAAGAAACAGGGUCUGUAGCCCAGGCUGGAGUGCAAUUUCACGACCUAACUCACUGCAGCUGCGACCUCCCGGGCUCAAGCGAUGUUCCUGUCUUAGCCUCCCUAGCAGCUGGGGCUACGGACGCGCGCUACCACGCCCACUUAAUUUUAGGGUUUUUGUUUGUUUGUUUUUGGUGUGGAGUUUUGUUUUGUAGGGACAGAGGUCUUACUGUUGCCCGGGCAGGUCUAAGAUUCCUGGGCUCAAGCAGCUCCCCCUCCGUGGCUUCCCAAAGUGUUGGGAUUACAGGCGUGAGCCGCUGCACCCGACUAAUUUUUUAAGUUUUGUUUUUUUUUUUUUUUUUGUAGAGACGGGGGUCUCGCUAUGUUGCCCAGGCUGGUUUCCAACUUCUGAGAUCAAGCGAUUGUCCCACCUCAGCCUCCCAAAGCGCUGGGAUUACACUCCGGAGCCACCGCCCAAGACCUGAUGCAGCCUUCAAGUCCGCCUGACCCCACCGGUGCGCCACUGUCCAUCAGACUCACACACUGAGUUACAGAAAGGGAUUUUCUUUUUCUUUUUUUUUUUUGAGACGGAGUUUGCUCUUAUGGCCCAGGCUGGAGUGCAAUGGUGUCAUCUCGGCUCACUGCAACCUGUGCCUCCUGCCUCAGCCUCCUAAGUACCUGGGAUUACAGAUGCCCGCCACCACGCCCGGCUAAUUUUUUGUAUUUUGUAGAGACAGAGUUUCACCAUGUUGGUCAGGCUGGUCUCGAACUCCUGACCUCAGGUGUGGAAUUUUAAACCUGGCUCUGAAGGGGAUAGACCCCUGUUCACCCCGUCCAGAUUUUAUCUCAAAUCCUAGCAUUGUACAGGCUUAGGAGACAACUGGACCAGUUCUUGCUCCAGAGUGCCAGAUCCACACAUCCAAUCAUUUAUUGGCUGUCUCCACCUCGAGGCCUAACAGAGCUAGUUCAUCUCUGCAUCUCCCCUCCACCAUGAGCCUGCUUCUCCCUGCACUGAUUAAGGACCUGGUAUUCUGUGCUCACCAGACCUUUCCUCUCUCACUGCCUCUUUCCCUCCCCUGGUGAUCUAACCCUUUACACCAACUCAUGUUUACCUGGCCUCCCCAGCGGCUGCUGUCCUGACCCUCCCUGAGUCAGCCUUUCUUCGCUCAACAAUUCCAUCUCAACAGUCUCUUCUCUGUUGCUGCACUCCCCACCCUACAGUGGCUUGGGUGGUCUUCCAAAAACCGUCAGAUCACUUGACUCCCCCACUCUGAGCAUUCUAUGGCUCACAGCAAAGUCUAAAUUCCUUAGCUAGGUAUCAGAAACUCCAAGUUCCCUUUCCUCUUUUAUGUGUUUCAACCAUAACACACUCCUCAAUUCCAGUACCCAGCCCUACCCCACUACUACAUCUGCUUGUAGAAAGCCCACCCAUGCUGCCUCUUCUGCGCAGCCCACAGUGUGUCCCCACAGGCACAGCCCACCACACCUGGCUAAUCUUUAUUUUUUUAGAGACGGGCUCGCUAUGUUGCCCAGGUUGGUUGUGAACCCCUGGCCUCAAGGGAUCCUCUGCUUGGACCUCCCAAAGUGCUGGGAUUACAGGCAUGAGCCACCACACCAACCCAGCUUCAUUUUCCAUUUCACGCUGUUGACAAACUGGUCCCUCCAGGCUGCCCCUUAAAUCUUAGUAGAAUCUGGGCGUGGUGGCUCACGCCUGUAAUCCCAGCACUUUGGGAAGCCGAGGCGGGCAGAUCACAAGAUCAGGAGUUCGAGACCAGCCUGGCCAAUAUGCUGAAACUCUGUCUCUACUAAAAAUACAAAAAUCAGUUGGCUGUGGUGAUGGCACCUGUAAUCCCAGCU